AUGCAAGUCGAACGCAUUGUGGUUGAAAUGAUAUGAAGAACUUGUUCAGAUUUGAUUUUCAACAUUGCAAUGAGUGGCGAACGGGUGAGUAACACGUGGGAAACCUACCUCUUAGCAGGGGAUAACAUUUGGAAACAAAUGCUAAUACCGUAUAAUAAUUAAAACCGCAUGGUUUUAGUUUAAAAGAUGGUCUUGCUAUCACUAAGAGAUGGUCCCGCGGUGUAUUAGUUAGUUGGUGAGGUAAUGGCUCACCAAGACAAUGAUACAUAGCCGAGUUGAGAGACUGACCGGCCACAAUGGGACUGAGACACGGCCCAUACUCCUACGGGAGGCAGCAGUAGGGAAUCUUCCACAAUGGACGAAAGUCUGAUGGAGCAACGCCGCGUGUGUGAUGAAGGGUUUCGGCUCGUAAAACACUGUUGUAAGAGAAGAAUGACAUUGAGAGUAACUGUUCAAUGUGUGACGGUAUCUUACCAGAAAGGAACGGCUAAAUACGUG
rnacentral:rRNA from 1 species